GGGUAUAUAGCUCAGUGGUAGAGUGUGUGCCUAGCAUGCACGAGGUCCUGGGUUCAGUUCCGAGGACCUCCA
rnacentral:tRNA from 1 species